CCAGGGUACAAAAAACCAGAAGAAAAAACCGAGAGGAAGCAAGCAAGGGAGAAUUAGGUUUUGCAUGGCAGCCUCCAAGAUGACAAGCACCCUGUGCUUGGCCGCUCUCGUGGUCAUGGCCGUUCUAUCGUCAUGUCUCGCAGAGAAUGAAGGAUGCGUGCCGAUCAAGGGGUACUGCCCUGAAGAGGACUGCAGGAAUUUCUGCAUGAGAAGUCGAUACAGAGGCCGUUGCAUCACCAAAGGCACGAUGCCCUACUGCUGCUGCGGUCAUUUUACUACCCCACCCGGACCCGGACGACGGUCGCCGCUGGAGUGAUAGGCAUAAACGCCAUACAUCUUUUUUUUUUCUUGAAUACGCACGAGUGUGCGUAUCAUAUAUUAUAGAAGGAAAGGGUAAGAACCCUCCACAAAAUGCCAGUACAAGGUUAUUUACAUGUAGCCCUCGGCCACACCACCCGACUACUCAGAAUAAAAACUACUCGCUACUC